AUAAUAGAAGCCAAGUAUGAGGCGUAUUACUGUUAAUAAUAUCAAUGAAUUACUCUUAUUCCUGUUAUA
rnacentral:tRNA from 1 species